GACGAACGCUGGCGGCGUGCUUAACACAUGCAAGUCGAACGGAAAGGCCCUGCUUUUGUGGGGUGCUCGAGUGGCGAACGGGUGAGUAACACGUGAGUAACCUGCCCUUGACUUUGGGAUAACUUCAGGAAACUGGGGCUAAUACCGGAUAGGAGCUCCUGCUGCAUGGUGGGGGUUGGAAAGUUUCGGCGGUUGGGGAUGGACUCGCGGCUUAUCAGCUUGUUGGUGGGGUAGUGGCUUACCAAGGCUUUGACGGGUAGCCGGCCUGAGAGGGUGACCGGCCACAUUGGGACUGAGAUACGGCCCAGACUCCUACGGGAGGCAGCAGUGGAGAAUAUUGCACAAUGGGCGGAAGCCUAAUGCAGCAACGCCGCGUGCGGGAUGAAGGCCUUCGGGUUGUAAACCGCUUUCGCCUGUGACGAAGCGUGAGUGACGGUAAUGGGUAAAGAAGCACCGGCUAACUACGUG
rnacentral:rRNA from 1 species